rnacentral:rRNA from 1 species
AGGACGAACGCUGGCGGUGUGCUUCACACAUGCAAGUCGAACGGGGUAGCAAUACCCAGUGGCGGACGGGUGAGUAACGCGUAGAAAUCUGCCUUGAGAUGGGGGAUAACAGUCCGAAAGGAUUGCUAAUACCGCAUAUGUAUGUAUCCGGACACGGGUGUAUAUGAAAGGAGUAAUCCGUCUUAAGAUGAGUCUGCGUCCGAUUAGCUAGUUGGUAGGGUAAAGGCCUACCAAGGCGACGAUCGGUAGCUGGUCUGAGAGGAUGAUCAGCCACAAUGGGACUGAGACACGGCCCAUACUCCUACGGGAGGCAGCAGUGGGGAAUUUUGUGCAAUGGGGGAAACCCUGACACAGCGACACCGCGUGAACGAAGAAGCCCUUUGGGGUGUAAAGUUCUGUCGGCUGGAACGAAAAAUGACGGUACCAGCAAAGGAAGCAUCGGCUAACUACGUGCCAGCAGCCGC